rnacentral:sRNA from 1 species
CAGUGUCCCACUCAUGGACGUCGGGGAGACGGCCAUGGUCACUGCUGACUCCAAGUACUGCUACGGCCCACAAGGCAGCAGGAGCCCAUACAUCCCCCCGCACGCGGCCCUGUGCCUGGAGGUGACCCUGAAGACGGCUGUGGACGGGCCUGAUCUGGAGAUGCUCACGGGGCAGGAGCGCGUGGCCCUGGCCAACCGGAAGCGGGAGUGCGGCAACGCCCACUACCAGCGGGCGGACUUCGUCCUGGCCGCCAACUCCUAUGACCUCGCCAUCAAGGCCAUCACCUCCAGCGCCAAAGGUGACCGCCUGGGUCAGAUCCCCACCAUCUCCCCUGCAAAGGUGUCCACUCUGUGCCAGAAACUUCCAGCCCCAGAGAGCCUCAGACUCAGAAUAUUCUAGAAUAGCCCAGAAUAUGGGUAGAUCCCCAACUGCCCCUAA